UACUCACUAAUAUUGAACUUCCGGUGGUUUCUAAAUAAUUUCCGGCGAUAUAUGUCCUACGUGGGUGUCGGAUGCUGAAUCAUGCCUUCCCUCCUUCGCCAUGUCAUCGUCUCUUUCCUAAUUUCUUUUAAUUAUAUUUUAAUCUCUAAUUAUAUCUAAUUAAAAUAAUAAAGCCCUAAUUAAAUUAAAUUUAACCCUAAUUUAAUUAAACCUAACCCUAAUCUAUCAACCAGCUGCCGCCGCAUAUCAUCUUCCUCACAUCGUCCAGCUGCCGCCUCCGCCUAUCAUCUUGCUUACAUUGUCCAUCGCCGUUGUCUGUCUCUAUCAGCCAUCUGUCUCCUCUGCCGCAAGAUGAACAAGCAAAAGAUAUAAAAUGCAGCAGCAGUUGGUGGCGAACGGUGUUGAACGAGGAGUAGCGUUUGCAACAACAGUGGUGGAGGAUUGUUCGAUCUUCUUUAUAGCAGUGUUGAAUGAAAGCAGCAGCACCGAAGAACGACCUAAGGUGAAAGGCGGCAAGACGAGCAACAGAGGAGUAAGGCGGGAAGAUGAGUAAUGUUGAACAAAAAAGCUGAUGCUCGUCGGAGGUUUUUAGAUUUAAUUUUGCUGGUGGGUGUGGGUAGUUGCUAGUGGCUGUGGUGGCGUGGGUAGUUUCUGGUUGCUGUUAGGGUGGUUGCUAGUGGUUGUGGUUGUAAUCGUGGGUGGUUGCUGGUUGCUGCUAUGGUGGGUGUGGGUGGUUUCUGGUGGCUAUGGAUGGCGGUUCUGUCCUUGCCAAGAAGGAGAAGCUGACGUGGCAAGCUGACUUGUAAUUUUCAAAAGAGAAAAAUGACAUAGCAAAUAAGGAAUGGAGUGAGUCAGCAUCCGGUAGCCAUGUAGGACAAAUAUCGGCGGAAAUUAUUUAGAAACCACCGGAAGUUCAAUAUUAGUGAGUAUAGUAACCAUUUUGUAAUGAAUUGAAAUUGGGUGACCAUUUUGCAACUUGAAAAAUGUUGGAUGACCCCAUAAUCUUUAACCCCAGAAAUCUGUUAGGUUAGGCCGUGGGUUCGAUUUCUCAUGCACAAAGAAGGAAUUGGCAACUAGUCCAAGCAAUAAGUGCAAUUAUUAAAAACAUCCGGAAAUUAAAUUUACUACUAUCCGCUCCGUUAGGGGUUUAGUAAUUCUCCCAUAAUAAAAAACAAGGACAGAAAUGAUACCGUUCAUCCAAUUUUGUUGAGGUUGAAAAUGGAAUGCACUUCUUUGCCACGCUAACAUCUCAUCAUUCCAUUGAAAUUCCUGCGCUUCUGAACUGCUACAAAUCACCUGCUCUACUUUUUCAGACACACCGGCGGAGACAUCAGACGACCUGAAAAUCUCAGGUUGAAAAUGAAAGGCAGUUCUUUGCCAUGAUAACAUGGCAUCAUUCCAUGGAAGCUCCUGCAAUUUUGGACUGCUAGAAAUCAGCUGCUCUAUUUUCUCAGAUGUCAAAAGCUCAUGUCCAUCUGUCUCGUUAGACACUACAUUUUCAUCGUUGUUGUGGCUUCUUGCCGGAGAUUUUUCAUCGGAGAGAGGAGUAUAGGUGGCUGAUGGGUCUGCCAUGAGAGAUCGUCUGAAAGUUUUCUAGAAAAUAAUGCUGUCUCUAUAUGAUGCCUUGGUUUUGCAAUUUUCUUGAUAGAGAUUAUUGGCCAAUAUAUAUUUAUUAUCGUACUCGUACAUGUGAAUAAUUGAUUUUAUAAUUUCGAAAUGUUUCGUUUUAACUUUUGAAACUUAA